GACGAACGCUGGCGGCGUGCUUAACACAUGCAAGUCGAACGGAAAGGCCCUGCUUUUGUGGGGUGCUCGAGUGGCGAACGGGUGAGUAACACGUGAGUAACCUGCCCUUGACUUUGGGAUAACUUCAGGAAACUGGGGCUAAUACCGGAUAGGAGCUCCUGCUGCAUGGUGGGGGUUGGAAAGUUUCGGCGGUUGAGGAUGGACUCGCGGCUUAUCAGCUUGUUGGUGGGGUAGUGGCUUACCAAGGCUUUGACGGGUAGCCGGCCUGAGAGGGUGACCGGCCACAUUGGGACUGAGAUACGGCCCAGACUCCUACGGGCGGCAGCAGUGGGGAAUAUUGCACAAUGGGCGGAAGCCUGAUGCAGCAACGCCGCGUGCGGGAUGACGGCCUUCGGGUUGUAAACCGCUUUCGCCUGUGACGAAGCGUGAGUGACGGUAAUGGGUAAAGAAGCACCGGCUAACUACGUG
rnacentral:rRNA from 1 species